GACGAACGCUGGCGGCGUGCUUAACACAUGCAAGUCGAACGGAAAGGCCCUGCUCUUGUGGGGUGCUCGAGUGGCGAACGGGUGAGUAACACGUGAGUAACCUGCCCUUGACUUUGGGAUAACUUCAGGAAACUGGGGCUAAUACCGGAUAGGAUCUCCUGCUGCAUGGUGGUGGUUGGAAAGUUUCGGCGGUUGGGGCUGGACUCGCGGCUUAUCAGCUGGUUGGUGGGGUAGUGGCUUACCAAGGCUUUGACGGGUAGCCGGCCUGAGAGGGUGACCGGCCACAUUGGGACUGAGAUACGGCCCAGACGCGUACGGGAGGCAGCAGUGGGGAAUAUUGCACAAUGGGCGGAAGCCUGAUGCAGCAACGCCGCGUGCGUGAUGACGGCCUUCGGGUUGUAAACCGCUUUCGCCUGUGACGAAGCGUGAGUGACGGUAAUGGGUAAAGAAGCACCGGCUAACUACGUG
rnacentral:rRNA from 1 species